GUAAAACCGUGUCACGGAGUGGCGGUAAGAGGGAGGGUGAAAGGGGUAAUCGGCAUUACUGGGCGUAAAGCGCACGCAGGUGGUUUGAUAAGUUAGAUGUGAAAUCCCCGUGCUCAACCUGGGAAUUGCAUUGAAAACUGACCAGCUAGAGUCUUGUAGAGGGGAGUAGAAUUCCAGGUGUAGCGGUGAAAUGCGUAGAGAUCUGGAGGAAUACCGGUGGCGAAGGCGGCCCCCUGGACAAAGACUGACGCUCAGGUGCGAAAGCGUGGGGAGCAAACAGGAUUAGAUACCCCAGUAGUC
rnacentral:rRNA from 1 species